GGAGGGGGCUAGCGUUGUUCGGAAUUACUGGGCGUAAAGCGCACGUAGGCGGCUUUGUAAGUUAGAGGUGAAAGCCCGGAGCUCAACUCCGGAAUUGCCUUUAAGACUGCAUCGCUAGAAUUGUGGAGAGGUGAGUGGAAUUCCGAGUGUAGAGGUGAAAUUCGUAGAUAUUCGGAAGAACACCAGUGGCGAAGGCGACUCACUGGACACAUAUUGACGCUGAGGUGCGAAAGCGUGGGGAG
rnacentral:rRNA from 1 species